UACAGGGGGGGCAAGCGUUGUUCGGAAUUACUGGGCGUAAAGGGCUCGUAGGUGGCCAACUAAGUCAUACGUGAAAUCCCUCAGCUUAACUGGGGAACUGCGUCUGAUACUGGAUGGCUUGAGUUUGGGAGAGGGAUGCGGAAUUCCAGGUGUAGCGGUGAAAUGCGUAGAUAUCUGGAGGAACACCAAUAGCGAAGGCAGCUCGCUGGGACGUUACUGACACUGAGGCGCGAAAGCGUGGGGAGCGAACAGG
rnacentral:rRNA from 1 species